CCCAGACUCCUACGGGAGGCAGCAGUAGGGAAUCUUCCGCAAUGGACGAAAGUCUGACGGAGCAACGCCGCGUGAGUGAUGAAGGUUUUCGGAUCGUAAAACUCUGUUGUCAGGGAAGAACAAGUGCCGGAGUAACUGCCGGCACCUUGACGGUACCUGACCAGAAAGCCACGGCUAACUACGUGCCAGCAGCCGCGGUAAUACGUAGGUGGCAAGCGUUGUCCGGAAUUAUUGGGCGUAAAGCGCGCGCAGGCGGUCUCUUAAGUCUGAUGUGAAAGCCCACGGCUCAACCGUGGAGGGUCAUUGGAAACUGGGGGACUUGAGUGCAGAAGAGGAAAGUGGAAUUCCACGUGUAGCGGUGAAAUGCGUAGAGAUGNUGGAGGAACACCAGUGGCGNAAGGCGACUUUCUGGUCUGUAACUGACGCUGAGGCGCGAAAGCGUGGGGAGCAAACGGGAUUAGAUACCCUGGUAGUCCACGCCGUAAACGAUGAGUGCUAAGUGUUAGAGGGUUUCCGCCCUUUAGUGCUGCAGCAAACGCAUUAAGCACUCNCGCCUGGGGAGUCGGGCCGCAAGGNNCUGAAACUCAAAGGAAUUGACGGGGGCCCGCACAAGCGGUGGAGCAUGUGGUUUAAUUCGAAGCAACGCGAAGAACCUUACCAGGUCUUGACAUCUCCUGACAACCCUAGAGAUAGGGCGUUCCCCUUCGGGGGACAGGAUGACAGGUGGUGCAUGGUUGUCGUCAGCUCGUGUCGUGAGAUGUUGGGUUAAGUCCCGCAACGAGCGCAACCCUUGAUCUUAGUUGCCAGCAUUCAGUUGGGCACUCUAAGGUGACUGCCGGUGACAAACCGGAGGAAGGUGGGGAUGACGUCAAAUCAUCAUGCCCCUUAUGACCUGGGCUACACACGUGCUACAAUGGAUGGUACAAAGGGCUGCAAGACCGCGAGGUUAAGCGAAUCCCAUAAAACCAUUCUCAGUUCGGAUUGCAGGCUGCAACUCGCCUGCAUGAAGCUGGAAUCGCUAGUAAUCGCGGAUCAGCAUGCCGCGGUGAAUACG
rnacentral:rRNA from 1 species